CUCUCCCAUCGCACCCCCCCUCCUGCAACCCUAACUCAGAUCCCAUCGAACACCUCCUCCUCCCGCAAUCCUAACUCUGAUCUCCUUGCCGCCACCAUCUUCUCGUCCCCAUCUACUCGCCGCCGCCACCUACGGCGCCGGACACGACGUCCCGCACCGAGCCCAACAAACCCUCGCGCGCCCCAGCCCUUGUUCGCCGACGCGGCCAUGGCAGGAUCCUCCCUCCUCAAGCCAGCCCGAUCCUCCCCUCGAUCUCGUCGGAGCUAGCGGAGAUUGGGCCGCGGCAAUUCCCCUCCCCACCCAGCCAUAAAGCCAUGCCCAAAUCAAGCCUCCCCCUCCUCAGCCGCACCCACCCCCAUCCCCACUCCAAUCGCGCCGCCUGCCCUCGUCGACCACUCCUCCGCCCCGCCGAGUCACCGCACACUGCCGCGGUGCCGUCGCCGUGGAUGGGAUGUGCGGCGGCCGUCCCCCCAGCGUCAAACUCCUGCAGAUGGAGACGGCCUGCGGCGCCCUCAUGCACGAGCUUCAGGUGUGCCCGCGGUCUGCCAGCGACCAGGACGAUGCCGACGGCCUCCACAGUUGCUCCUUCUUAACAUUCGCGCGCCAGGAGAGGAGCCUCCGACCCCGACGCCAUGGAAGGUCCCCUCCCAUCUCCUCUCUCUGCUCGUUUCCAGAAAGGACAUCAUUUGUGCUAGCGAGUUGCCGCAGGAGAACAAAUCACGUCCUGCACUUCCUCCUAGUCUCCCAAGGCUUCUUGAUAUGUACACUACCAUUUUUAGAGGCUUAAUAGGACUGGUUGCUGCUCAAGCCACUUAUGGCCAAGGGGAGAACAUUGAGUUCAUGCUCCAAGAGCUUAAGAAUGAAGUCUUAUAUUAAGUUACUGACCCUAACUGUAAGACUAAAUGCAUGUGGAGACGCAUGAUUAAUGUUGGGACACCCAUUACUUACAUGGGACUAGAUUAUGCAUUUCAUAUGGGCAUGUUCGAUUAAUUAGGAUGCAAGUAUGUAACAGGAAUCCUAUCUGUGAGCUAGGUUUCUUUGCUUUGCUUUUCCUGUGAGUAGUACGUAUAUCUUAAUUAGUAUAGUAGCUUGUGGGCUAAUGGAGAAGUACGGUGGACGUGGCAACCAUAUAGGUGUCUAUCCUUUUGGUGAGCACCUGACAUAAUAACAGAGUGCUGCCUAAGCUAAUUACCUGGGCCAUUGCAACUGAUUGAGUGUCAUUGCAGAUGCAUAUUCUAGUUGAGAUGGUGACUUAACUAGACCACAUCUGCAUGCUUGUUACCAGGGAAGGCAUGAUCCUGUCACUAACACUGUCCAUUACCCCAUCUAUCUACAGCCAAGAAACUACAUAGCAGUUUACUAAAUUGAAAAAUUCUUAGACCGUUCGAUAAUUCAGCAAAUUCAGAUCCAAAGAAGCAGUUCAGUAAUUUAGUAAACUGAAUAAUUAUUAGACCGUUCAGAAAAACUAAGAUCGUUGAACGCUAGACCGUUCAAUAAUUCAGCAAAUUCAGACCCAAAGAACCAUUCAUGCAUUUACACAAUCAUGGUUUCCUCUGCUGUUUGUAAUUGUUCUAGUUAAUUAUGCUAGUAGAUAUCGUGUGGGAUCUGUAGCUGGUGUCUGUUGUGUCAUGUCCUCUUUGACGAGUUCAUUCAUUGAAAAAUAUUUCUUGAUGAGCUGCUUUCUGUCCAAAUGCAUACUAUUAUUAAGUCACGAUCAGUUAGCAAAUUUACAUGUACGCUCCAUUGUUUGUUAAGGUUUAGUAGCUAUUGUGCAAAAUUGGUAGUGAUUCUAUCGGUGAACAAGUAGGGUAAAUAUGUCACUGUAAAUCUGUAAAAUAGCUUCUUUAUAUUUUUGUCUCGCAUGUUCAGUGUUGUGUGUCUGGCAUGUUCAUAGAGCCACUUGUGGAGUGAGAUGAGAAUAACAAUUAUAAUUCUGUAAUGUUUGAUCGUAUAUACAUAUGCAAAAGUUGCUUGUGCAUUAUCGCUAGUUUUGGUUGCUGCUUUACUAAUAACUAUGAACACAAUAGUAUGUUUGUGAUCUUAUUGACUUGCAACUUUACCAUUUACAGAACCAUCAUCUUAUUUUAUUUUUUUCAUGUACAACUCGCCAAAAGAAGGUUGUGAAGAUAUUCCCAUGCCAGACAUUUGGAUCUCUUUGCCCCAUUGUGCAAUGUUGGUUGGAUGGCAGGGCCAGCUCUAAAUGUUGGUUGGAUGCAAGAGAGGAACUGUACUUGAUCCUCUGCUCGGCCAGCCCGUGGACGACCACUACUUCCUCGAGAAAGACCGGCAUCGCUAUCGACACUCAGCUGGUCGUAGCAGAAGUCAAUAAACAGAAGAUGGAAACCGGCAAAGAUGCAGAUAGAUGGUGGACAUAUGAGAGAGGUGAUGGGAUAAAGAACGACUGUCGGCGACACUUGGCCAGAAGAAGAGAGCUAAGAACGAGGGGGUUCGGAGAGCGCCGCAGCUUGACUGCGGUCCUCAUGGCUCCUAAUAAUCCAUCAGCUGCUAGCGGCGCUACUAUAGCUAAUUGUGAUUUGCAGUUUCUAUCAGCCUUUUGUGUAUGCAGUUUCCCCGUUAUUUUCUAAAAACUUGUCUAUGAUAAUUUCUAACAUACAAUAAUUGUGAAUUUGUGAUAGAUAAUUGGUUUAAAUUAUACUUUACACACUUU